AUACUCUUUUCAGUAUAUAAUACGUUUAACUUUCAAUAUACCAACUAUACUGGCAUCCAUCUACUUGAUGCUUGAGAAUCUACAGCAAGAUGGUAUAAACAUUGCAACAAUUGCACCGUACCUAUCUUUGGUACAAUCAACAAUUUUUUGGGCUAUUCCAACAAUCGUAGCGACAUUGCUAACACAAGAGGCUUUUAAGAUUAAGCUUAUAUUACAUAAUAGAAUAUCAAAGGAAUAUGGUAAUCACAUAGUAGAUAGGAAUGGAAUCCUAGCUAUGGAGAGGUUCUCCAGCUACAUAGAUGCAAGACCGUUCAAGUUUUAUAUGUUUUCCCUUAUCCCUAUGGACCUUACAUUACUUGUGAUAGUUUUGGACACAUGCAUUUCUUACCUCGUUAUCACUGUGCAGUUAACACACCUUGUAUAAAUGAAACCAAGUUAUUGCGGUAACCUCGAGUCUUUUUAUGAUUUUAUUUGUACAUUUUCCCACGUUUCGAUUACUUUUCAGCAGCCGUGAUCAUGGGUAGACGUAAGGAAAGUGUCAAACACUGUCAUUCCGAGGUUGCUGAAGAGUAAUUAAAGCCGCGGGAAAAUGUCGAAAUAAUAUUUAAAAAAAAACGCUUAGUUAUGCGAAAAUUUUUGCUUCAUUUAAAUGUGUACACGCAAAAAUCUUAGGUAGCAUUACAGCUUAUUUAAUAAUCAAGCGUCGAUGGAGAGUUCAUUGAGAUGUUUGAUAAGCCUUUGUCAUAUGCAACAAAUAUAGUGAAUAGUUAAAAUCUUAGUAGUAUUUUCCCAAUUUAAUGUUGUACGUAAUAAGCCGUUAAUUAGUAUAUAUUUCUAUUGAGUUGACUAACUUCCAUGGUAGCACAUUAUGUUUUAAAAAAUCGCUCAAAAAAUUUAAUACGAAGCAUAUUUUUGUGCCAUCGUUAUAAAGGUUAAAUAAUAAUUGCUAUACUAUAGGUAUUAUUUUUAGGUACUUCAUGACGCUCAGUACUUGUCAUGUCUAUUUUUACUUUGCACGAAAAAAAAGCUUAAUUUUAAAUCACCUUCUUUCUUUGAUUUCCUUCCCUGAGUUUUUCUAACAUAUCUACAACGUACGUAAUUGACUGGUUGACUGGUAAUUGACUGGUUGAUUUAGUUAAUGUGAGGCCGACAACAGGAGACCCAUACGUAUUUAAAUUUAUAUAUUUUGUUGUUGUUUUUGGGUAGUGCAGUGAGGAGCAUAAUUAUAAUUUAAAGUUAAAAUUAAAUAAGGCGGCGAAUUUUUAUCUUCGCUAUUAUUUUUUUCUCAAUUCAGUAGUCAAUACAGUAUUUCAAGCUAUAGGUAUCUCACUACUAUUUCUUUAUAGAUAGACGAUUUUAGACAAGAAAUUUGUCUAAUCAAUACGGAUAUGAAAAAAAUAACUACUACAUGGGACUAUUUUUGUGAUCAGCAAAUACGUGUCAACACAAAUGAUAUAAAUUGGUAGCUGUACUUUUAAAUAUAAUUAAUUACUUACCUCAUCAGUUACAGUGAUUCCAAUCUCUGGUUCCUUUUCUGCAUCCACUUAGACCUGUUCUUAUUUACGGAAUCAGAUGUUAUCUGAAGACCAAAGAAGGCUGCAUAUCCUUUACAUUAUCGAAGUAAAACGACAUACUUGAAUUCUUUGAGUCCAUCAUAAAUAUAAGCUACUUCAUAUUUUGUUGCAUGAACAUGAUAAAGGAAAGGUUUUGGCCCAUUUGCUUUUAACUUUUACAUUUCCAAAUCACGUUGAGUCGAUAAAUAUGUAUCUUUUAUCCCAUUUUACUCAUAUGUCUAAUGUUUAUACCAACUUUUUCCCACUAUGCUAACU